rnacentral:misc_RNA from 1 species
CGGUUCGAGUCCGCUUACCUCCACUGAUCAACUACCUGAUAACUCAAUUGGAGAUUGUCAUUUGUUAAAAGUGACUUAGAUAUUGUUCGUCUGAGAUGAACCUAGCUUCCUAUCAUUCCUUAAUUUUUGAGGCUGAUAAGACGCUGGGCUCACUGAUAUUAAUUAUCAGUUUGAUUCAGCA